AUUAUUCUCCCAAUUCCAGUGUCAAUAUAGAUUAAUAUAAUUUGAUUCCUUAAAAAUCUGCGGGAAGUCACGCUCGUGUAAACACUUGGUGAAUGUUUUGGUUGGUGGAUGUAACGCGAAAAAUACACCGCUGGAUAUUGUUUAUUUUAAGAGGUGGGAUGAUAGCAUAGGAAGAAAAUGUCGCUGUACGGAGAGAACGUCCGCUCUCCCUUAGAGCAAGUGUGGAGGCAGUUUGUACCUCAAGGGUAUGAUCAAGCACUGCGUAAUGCCUUCUAUAAUGUUGCUGCGGUCAUCUUUGUUGGGGCCGCUGCUGCAGCUGCCUGGUCCGUAUAUAAAAUCUUUGAGCCCUUUGUGCAGCCAUUGCUAUGGGCAGUUUUAAUAGGUUCACUACUGCAUCCGGCCAAAGAUGCACUAACAAGGUGGACUCGAAGCUGGCUUCUAGAUGUGAGGGCAUCACAUAAUCUUCUAUCUGUGUCAGUGGCACUGCUUCCAUUAAGGUUUCUAGACGCUACAUCAGAAAUUGUUGGCAGAUUUGUUGUACGGCAUGUGCGGAGUGUUGUGACAGUCACAGUAAUCCUGCCACUGUUUUACAUCAUUAUACAUCACACACCCACAUUCAUGUCUACUCUUGCCUACACUAUUUGUUCGGCUAUCAUGUCAGUAAUCACAGUUAUUGUGUCGGUGGUGACAUACAAUGGAUAUGCAGUUUUAACAGUAAUUUUUGGAUACCUUGUGGCUGUGGUAUUCUUCUGGUCAUCAACAACUUGUGAUGUCUUGGGCCGCAUGAGUCUUGCUGUGUGGGUCAUGGCAGCAGCAGGGAUGUCUGGCUUGUGGCCAGCAGGGAGCGUUCCAGUCUUUAUAAUCCUUUGUCUUCUGCUUGUGGCUGGUUUGGUGACGGAGAUCAUGGAUGUUUUUACUGCUAAUAAAGCUGCCAAAGGUGAUGAUGCUAGCAUUAUAGAAGCAGCAGUGUUAGUGUGCCUAGGUAAUGCAUCUGCAAUAGAGAAUGCGACUAGUGAAGGACAAGAUAAGGAGAGAAAAGAAGUGGAAGGCCUAGGGACAGGUGGUUCACUUUCACCCGUCACAGAAGAGGAUAGUAUAGAGGACUUAGGUAACAAGGAAUCCCCCUCUCGACUCUCAUCGAUUCCUGAGGUGACCACCACAUCUGCUGCUGAGACUGAUGAGGCUGCCACUGAUAAUGACCUUGAUAAAGAAACCCAGCAAGAGUCCACAUCAGAUCUGGAUAAUGGUGACCAAACUCAGCUGCCGAAAGAGGACGUCUCCACACCUGUCCUGAAGCCAGAAGAGAAGAUGCGCCAGGCAACUGGGGAGAAGCUUCAUGCUGAAGAUCCAUACCGAACACCAUUGAUGGAGACACCCCGGCCUCGACUCCUACUCAGCGGCAAUGUGCCAUCACGUGCACUGCCCUCCCAUGGGUUGAUUAGUCCUGACGAACGCCCAGGUGAGGAAGAUAAUGGCAGCAACAUGUAUCUAAAGGGUGUGUUAGUAGCCUGUAUCUUGGUGGAGCUUUGGCAACAUAACUACUUACUGCCUUUGUUGCCUCUAGCCAUGAUCUACUACAUCAUCAAGAAAGUAGCUUCCAAGUAUUUGCUGUGGGGAACUGCCUUGUCUGAUGUAAUGAACCAUGCCUGGGACAAAGUACUGAUGUGGGCUGAGGCCCGCAAAGCAGCAAUUCUUCCCCCGCCAGUCAAGGGUGUGAUUAAGCUGUUAGUAAGGACUGAUCACCGUCUAGUUGUGGCCCUCUCAGCUGGUGUGGAUGCUAUUGUAACACUGCUACUGAUCUUGGCAGUCAUCUUUUUUGCUGUGACUGCAUCUAUAUUCCUAGCAGUGCAGAUUCAAGGCGAAAGCAUGGCUCUGGUUACUCUAGGCAGCCAGAUGAUCAACUCGACUGUCGUCAACAACCCACAGUUUUUGGAGCUUCUUCCAGAGGGCCUUGGAGAUGUUGUCAGUAACGCGCUUGAUGAAGGUUACCUCUAUGGUCGAGAGUGGAUUGCCAGCAUGCUGAUUGAGGUGGAGGGUUCCUCACACCCAACUAUCAAUGCCACAAAGGUGGUGCGAGGAAUGCUUGGAGAGACAGAUGAGGCAAAAGCUCAACAUCUAGAGAAGCAGGUGGUAGAGCUAUGGGACCGCGUGUACCAGGCGUGGGUCUCGGCCCAUCCAACCCCUCCCACCAGCCCUAAAGUGACUUCAGAGGCUGUGGCGCUCUCCUUCGACACUUUGGUGGAUGGGCUACGUAAGACUUCAGGCCCAGGAGAUGUAUUUUCAAGAACAGGUGUGGUGAGUUUCUCAUUUCUAAGUGAAGUCCUGAAGGAUAACCUGGGGACUGUGGUCAGUGUCCUGGAGUCUGUUUGGACAAUCCUGCUGGGCAACUUGAGUCUGGCUGUUUCUGCCCUGACUGCAGCUGCCUCCCUUCUCCUGGGUGGGUCCCUGUCCCUGCUGAACGCUCUUAUUAGUGUGGUUGUCUUCAUGUCAUCACUCUUCUAUGUAUUGAGUGCAAGCGGCACUGUUUACAAACCUGUGGCAGUUCUUGGCAAUCUAGCACCUGGCCAGAUGAACCAGCUUGGAAAGGCAGUUGAGGAUGCUGUGAAUGGUGUUUUUAUUGCAUCCUUAAAAAUGGGGGCAUUUUAUGGAAUGUGGACUUGGCUGCUUCAUUCACUGUUCUCCACUAAUAUUGUCUACAUUCCAUCAGUGUUAGGAGCCCUGUUUGGGGCGGUACCACUGGUGGGCACCUACUGGGCAGCACUGCCUGGGGCCUUAGAACUCUGUUGGAGUCAAGGAUCUCCCACUCUGGCACUGCUACUCUUUGGUGCACAACUGCUGCCAAUGUCUUGUGUUGAUACUGCUAUCUAUGCUGACAUUAAAGGAGGUAGUCACCCCUACCUCACAGGUCUAGCAGUAGCUGGUGGCAUAUUCUACUGGGGUGCAGAAGGAGCCAUUCUAGGACCUUUGCUGUUGUGUAUCCUGAAAGUUGCUACCAAUAUCUAUUCUUCACUCAUUCAGUCGCCAGCAGAUAUCACCAGACGCUUUGGUAAACUGAGGAGAAGUCUGAGUGAUCUGCACUUGUAAGGAGCAAGAAUGGUUCAGAACGGAUAACAGCGGCUGUUCUGCAAUCUCCAAAUAUUUGCUUUUAGCAUUUAGAAGAGCUUUUGCUAAAGUGUUUGCAAAAUUCAUUAGAUUUAUUCCAGACUUGUGCCUUUUUUGAAAUGGUGCUAUUAGAAUGGUAUCUCACAACUGCAGCUUUAAUUAGGGAUCCUGCUAACGGCAUAGUUGAUGGUUUUUCAGCAGGAAUGCUGGAAUAUCCCAAGGACUUCUUUUUAUAAUUACUUUGAUGAUUCUCAUUAUUCAUAUUACUAUUUUCUGUAGUAAAGCCAAAGGAAAUAGGUCAUGUACUACAUUGAUAGGGAUUCAUUUUAAUUGUGAAGUAGGGAGGAAUUGUGAAUUUAUAGAAGUGUAUCAUACAAAUGUGUGUAGUGGAAUUAUACUCAUAGGAUUAUAGUAAAAGAAAUAGUGAACAGAAGUUAGCUAUAUAUACACAUGUAUGGUGUAGGUGUGGUUGUGGGCAUGUUGAUGGGUGGGUGUAGAUGGAUGGGUGUGGGUGGAUGGAUGGCAUCUCACUUACACUUUUAUAUUCACCUUUCCCAUCACCUUCCCCAUCUGUUGAGUACACUUUCUGUAAAUUCAUGGUUUUCUUUUCUUACCAGUUUACAACAUUUGUACUUUAAUUUUGUUUUGCUAAACUUCACAAUUGUAUUUAGACUUCUGGUGAGAAUUACGGUCCAUGAAUAUCUCAGCUUCUUUUGCCUUUGGUAGAAGACAUGAACAGAUAAAUUUAUCUGAAGGAAAAUGAGAAAGGCUAAUUCUUUUAAAGUUGGAGGUAAUAUCUGAUAGAAUAUGUAAGGGAAAACAUUGUUUGAAUUUAAUCAUACUUUCUAAAAGUAUUUGUUACUGUUGAGACUAGUAUGUCAAGUGGAUGCUAUUUUUAAUAAUGGUUUGGAAGGACAAAUGUGAUUUAGUUUUCUUUGAUAAUGAAAGUUUCAUUUUAACGAAUAUAAGGUCAAGUUGGGAAGAAACCCAGUAAAAAAACAAAUUUGUUUUUUAGGAAUUAUUAUCAUUAUGAUUUCAGCUUACUGUGAUUAUAAAAGCUGUAACACUUUAAAAUUAUGUUCCAUACCAUAUCAAGAAUACAGGUGAUGUGUAAAAGAAGUUUCAACCUCCUAUUAUUGUGUAAAAACACCCUAUUUCUCUCAUCUCAUAUUUAUUAUAUUUCUGACAUCUCAUCUUCCAUUCUUAUUGUUUUUUUUACUUGUUUGGGGUCACUUUUCUACAGCAGCUUCUUUCAUUUUUUUUUCUAUUAGGUAUUUCAUGUCUGUUGAAUGUUUGAUUAGAUAGAUUCAUAAUAUUUUACCAAUUACAUUUAAUGUAUCUAUAUUCAAAGAUCUUUUCUGGCCAAUUGAUAGCCAAACUAUUUAAAAAAAAUUAGUGUAUGUUUAUAUUAUUUAAUUCAUUUUCAGUGGAUACAAUUCUAACUGAAUGCUCUCUUUUCAUACUCAUACAAUUCCUAUUCCUUUUGCUUAUAGUGUUGAGACUUACAAUUCAAGCAAAGGGAUUCUAUGACAUCUUCAGGUUUAUAUUAGUGGUCUCUCUGUUUAUUGUGCUUGCAGUUUUUUCUGCUGUGAUUUUUGUGCUCUAGAACUUUCAGGAUUUGAUAUUUAAAACUUGUACAGGAAUUGCAAGUAGGACAGCUUUUGAGAAACAUUUUUAUUGGUAGAUAUUACUUACUUUGUAUUCUAUGCUGUGCUGUUGUAAUGGAAAUGCUUCCUGUUGUAAAAUAACUGGAAAUUUAUCAUAUGAAAGAAUAUUACUUAAGUGAAAAUGGAUGAAAUUGCUUUUUACUGCUCAGCAGGUUACUGUAUACAUAACCUAUAUUUUUUCCUUCUCUCUUUUCUUUUAAGCUAAUCGAUGAUAUAUAAUAACCUUUAAAAAAACAAUUUUGUGUUCUGUCCUUAAUGAAUAAUAAAAUCAG
rnacentral:misc_RNA from 1 species